GUAGCAAGGCUCUUCUAUUUAUUCAGAAAUAACCACUAUGUUUCAAUAUUUCUCUAGAUAAAGAAGAUCCGGCUGUAAAAAAUGAUGAUGAAGAUCCAGAUGUAAACCCCUAUGAAGAAAUUCUGGCUGUAAACAACUAUGCCCGUCAGUCCCCUUGCAGGCAUCGGUUGACUCUGAAACUCGGCUGUGCUGGACUGAUUCUUGUCUUGACGCUGAUUGGAAUCAGUGUCUCAGUGGGAUUUUUAGUGCAAAAACCACCAAGAGUGAACAUGACUGAACCAACAGGGAGAACAGCCAUACUAACAUGCCUGAAAGAUUGGCAACCAUACAAGGAUAAAUGCUUAUUUAUUUCUCAAACUUCCGAUUCUUGGGCUGAAGGUCACAUUGAC